GCCUGAGUGGCUCAGUCGGUUAAGCGUCCGACUUCAGCUCAGGUCAUGAUCUCACAGUUCGUGAGUUCGAGCCCCACAUCGGGCU
rnacentral:tRNA from 1 species